rnacentral:ncRNA from 2 species
UCAACCUUGUUGGGAGAAUCCGGCGCGAGCCGGUGCCGAAGGAGCAACCGCCCCGGAAACUCUCAGGCCAAAGGACCAGCAAGG